GCCAUUGGGAGAUGAUUAAGUCAUGAAGGCUCUGCCCACAUGAAUGGCAUUAAUGCCCUUAUAAAAGAAACCCCAGAGAGCUAGCUGGCCUUGUCUGUCAUGUAAGCAUGCAGCAAGAAGGUGCCAUGAGCAAGAGAGCAAGCCUUCACCAGACACCAAAUCUGCCAGCAGCUUGAUUGUGGACUUAUCAGCCUCCAGAACUGUGAGCAAUAAAGUUUCUUUUGUUUAUAGACUAUACAGUUCAUGGUACUUUGUUAUAGCAGCCCAAAAGUACUAAGACAACUACCUCUUGGGAGACUUCUAGGUGUGCUCAUUACAACCUUCUUGACCUGGACCUCAUCUGUGUUGCUGAUUUAUGUGUCAGUAAUGGGAACAACAACAAAGACUGUCAAAGGCAGGAAAAUAGCAUAUAUUCAAGGACUUUAAUAGGAAAAAAGGGCAGGAUUUAACUUGAUAAUGCCAUAAUUGUCUUAACACCAAACUGAAAGAAGUGGCAUCACUAGAGCUGUGGCAAAGGAUCAACAGCUGGGGAGGUGCGAGAGACUGAAGGAAGAUUCAAAGUGCUCCAGGAAGUUUCUUACCAGCAUUAUCUCCUGACCAUGUGAGGGUUUUCUGUGCUUUCUUCAUCAGGCCUUUUUCAGUUAUGAGUGAAUCCCAAAUCAAACUGACUUAAGAAACACAAAAGAGAAAUCUGUCUUGGUGUUGGAGCCUCUUGGAAUUCGUGACAAGGAAAAAAGUACACCAAGUAAACUAGUAAAA
rnacentral:lncRNA from 10 species